rnacentral:sRNA from 2 species
GACAUAAUCGUCCCGCUGGCCAAGAAAAAAAGAAGCUCCGAGUUAAAUUCUAACCUGAGCCAAGAGCCAAGAACCAAGAACCAAGAGCUUUGACUUGGAAGCUUGAAGCUUGAGCUUGCAAUGAUCCCCCUCGCAUUCGCAAUUCGCAAUCUGUAUUCCGCAAUCCGCGAUCCGCAAUCCGCAUUCGCAUUCCGUAUUCCACAUUCUACAAUCAUUAUCCGGCACUUUUUGCUCUGAAUUUGCCAUUUGGCCGAGCAGGCAGGAACAAACACCCCGAGCAGCAAUCAGUGAGAAAAAGCGGUUUCAAG